UUUGGAUCAGUGAUGUAUAUUACUGCGUUAUCUAUCUGUAAUGAAUUCUUUUUUGAAGAUAACUUGGUAUCCUGAGAUCCAAU